rnacentral:rRNA from 1 species
GUAACAGGGAAGAAGCUUGGCUUGCUUUGCUGACGAGUGGCGGACGGGUGAGUAAUGUCUGGGAAACUGCCUGAUGGAGGGGGAUAACUACUGGAAACGGUAGCUAAUACCGCAUAACGUCGCAAGACCAAAGAGGGGGACCUUCGGGCCUCUUGCCAUCGGAUGUGCCCAGAUGGGAUUAGCUAGUAGGUGGGGUAACGGCUCACCUAGGCGACGAUCCCUAGCUGGUCUGAGAGGAUGACCAGCCACACUGGAACUGAGACACGGUCCAGACUCCUACGGGAGGCAGCAGUGGGGAAUAUUGCACAAUGGGCGCAAGCCUGAUGCAGCCAUGCCGCGUGUAUGAAGAAGGCCUUCGGGUUGUAAAGUACUUUCAGCGGGGAGGAAGGGAGUAAAGUUAAUACCUUUGCUCAUUGACGUUACCCGCAGAAGAAGCACCGGCUAACUCCGUGCCAGCAGCCGCGGUAAUACGGAGGGUGCAAGCGUUAAUCGGAAUUACUGGGCGUAAAGCGCACGCAGGCGGUUUGUUAAGUCAGAUGUGAAAUCCCCGGGCUCAACCUGGGAACUGCAUCUGAUACUGGCAAGCUUGAGUCUCGUAGAGGGGGGUAGAAUUCCAGGUGUAGCGGUGAAAU